rnacentral:tRNA from 1 species
ACCUGGGUGGCUCAGUCGGUUGAGCAUCCGACUUCGGCUCAGGUCAUGAUCUUGCAGUUCGUGGGUUCGAGCCCCGCGUCAGGCU